GCCUGUACAGUACAAAACCCCAACCCCUCCUUCCUCCUACCACCUUUCUUCUCCAACCCGACGGCCACACCUCUCUCCUCCAUUGUUGCUGCCGGAUUUUGCCGAAAUUCUCAUGAAACCUCACCAUUUUUGAUGUAUUGGCUCCACCAACUUAUUCUAAGGAUAAAUUCUCAUGAACACUCAUCAUGAAGUCAUCAUGGAGGCUCAUUAAAUUUUGAGGACUGGACUUCACAUAUUUGAUUCAAGAUGAAUCGAGGUUGGAUGUACGGUACAAAGGCUGGAAAUUUGGAUUUUGUCAAUGGUGUGGACUCGUUUGUGCAGACUGCCAAGGCACACAAGAAUCUACAAGAUGAUGGCUACGUGUAUUGCCCAUGCAUUGAUUGCAAAAAUCAGAAGCAGUUUGGCAAUGUUGAGCAGAUCCGCUUUCAUCUGUUAUUUAGAGGUUUUAUGCCCAACUACCAAGUUUGGAACAAGCACGGUGAGGUUGGUGAGACAA